UUACGGCCAUAUCACGUUGAAACACCGGCUUCCGUACGGUCACCGAAGUUAAGCAACGUCGAGCAUGGUCAGUAUCUAGAUGGAUGACCACUUGCGAAUACCAGAUUUUGUAA